rnacentral:rRNA from 1 species
GACGAACGCUGGCGGCGUGCUUAACACAUGCAAGUCGAACGGAAAGGCCCUGCUUUUGUGGGGUGCUCGAGUGGCGAACGGGUGAGUAACACGUGAGUAACCUGCCCUUGACUUUGGGAUAACUUCAGGAAACUGGGGCUAAUACCGGAUAGGAGCUCCUGCUGCAUGGUGGGGGUUGGAAAGUUUCGGCGGUUGGGGAUGGACUCGCGGCUUAUCAGCUUGUUGGUGGGGUAGUGGCUUACCAAGGCUUUGACGGGUAGCCGGCCUGGGAGGGUGACCGGCCACAAUGGGACUGAGGUACGGCCCAGACUCCUACGGGAGGCAGCAGGGGGGAAUAUUGCACAAUGGGCGGGAGCCAGAUGCAGCAACGCCGCGUGCGGGAUGACGGCCUUCGGGUUGUAAACCGCUGUCGCCGGUGACGAAGCGGGAGUGACGGUAAUGGGUAAAGAAGCACCGGCUAACUACGUG